rnacentral:rRNA from 1 species
GACGAACGCUGGCGGCGUGCCUAACACAUGCAAGUCGAGCGAGUGAAUUUCCUUCGGGAUUGAAGCUAGCGGCGGACGGGUGAGUAACACGUGGGCAACCUGCCUCAUAGAGGGGAAUAGCCUUUCGAAAGGAAGAUUAAUACCGCAUAAGAUUGUAGCUUCGCAUGAAGUAGCAAUUAAAGGAGCAAUCCGCUAUGAGAUGGGCCCGCGGCGCAUUAGGUAGUUGGUGAGGUAACGGCUCACCAAGGCGACGAUGCGUAGCCGACCUGAGAGGGUGAUCGGCCACAUUGGAGCUGAGACACGGCCCAGACUCCUACGGGAGGCAGCAUUGGGGAAUAUUGAACAAUGGGGGAAACCCUGAUGCAGCAACGCCGCGUGAGUGAUGACGGCCUUCGGGUUGUAAAGCUCUGUCUUCAGGGACGAUAAUGACGGUACCUGAGGAGGAAGCCACGGCUAACUACGUGCCAGCCGCCGCAGUAA